rnacentral:piRNA from 1 species
UGAAGUAAGUGAAGAUUAUAUAUGGUAGAGC